rnacentral:rRNA from 1 species
GAUCAUGGCUCAGAGCGAACGCUGGCGGCAGGCCUAACACAUGCAAGUCGAACGGACCCUUCGGGGUUAGUGGCGGACGGGUGAGUAACACGUGGGAACGUGCCUUUAGGUUCGGAAUAGGCUCCUGGAAACGGGUGGUAAUGCCGAAUGUGCCCUUCGGGGGAAAGAUUUAUCGCCUUUAGAGCGGCCCGCGUCUGAUUAGCUAGUUGGUGGGAUAAUGGCCCACCAAGGCUACGAUCAGUAGCUGGUCUGAGAGGAUGACCAGCCACAUUGGGACUGAGACACGGCCCAAACUCCUACGGGAGGCAGCAGUGGGGAAUCUUGCGCAAUGGGCGAAAGCCUGACGCAGCCAUGCCGCGUGUAUGAUGAAGGUCUUAGGAUUGUAAAAUACUUUCACCGGUGAAGAUAAUGACUGUAGCCGGAGAAGAAGCCCCGGCUAACUUCGUG